AUGAACGCUGGCGGCGUGCCUAAUACAUGCAAGUCGAGCGAACGGACGAGAAGCUUGCUUCUCUGAUGUUAGCGGCGGACGGGUGAGUAACACGUGGAUAACCUACCUAUAAGACUGGGAUAACUUCGGGAAACCGGAGCUAAUACCGGAUAAUAUUUUGAACCGCAUGGUUCAAAAGUGAAAGACGGUCUUGCUGUCACUUAUAGAUGGAUCCGCGCUGCAUUAGCUAGUUGGUAAGGUAACGGCUUACCAAGGCAACGAUGCAUAGCCGACCUGAGAGGGUGAUCGGCCACACUGGAACUGAGACACGGUCCAGACUCCUACGGGAGGCAGCAGUAGGGAAUCUUCCGCAAUGGGCGAAAGCCUGACGGAGCAACGCCGCGUGAGUGAUGAAGGUCUUCGGAUCGUAAAACUCUGUUACUAGGGAAGAACAUAUGUGUAAGUAACUGUGCACAUCUUGACGGUACCUAAUCAGAAAGCCACGGCUAACUACGU
rnacentral:rRNA from 1 species